rnacentral:rRNA from 1 species
GACGAACGCUGGCGGCGUGCUUAACACAUGCAAGUCGAACGGAAAGGCCCUGCUCUUGCGGGGUGCACGAGUGGCGAACGGGUGAGUAACACGUGAGUAACAUGCCCUUGACUUUGGGAUAACUCCAGGGAACUCGGGCUAAUACCGGAUAGGAUCUCUUGCUGCACGGUGGGGGUUGGAAAGUGUCGGCUGUUGGGGAUAGACUGGCUGCUUAUCGGCUUGAUGGUGGGGUAGUGGAUUCCGAAGGCUUCGACGGGUAGCCGGCAUGAGAGGGUGACCGGGCACAUGAGUACUGAGAGAGGGCCCAGACUGGAACGGGAGGCAGUAGUGGAGAGUAUGACACAAUGGGGGGGCGCGUGAUGUGACGGCGCCGCGUGCGGGAUGACGGCUUUCGGGUUAUAAACAGCUUUCGACUGUGCCGAGGAGUGAGUGACGGUAAUGGGUCAAGAAGCCCCGGCUAACUACGUG